rnacentral:rRNA from 1 species
UCGAGGAUCUUCGGCAAUGGGCGAAAGCCUGACCGAGCGACGCCGCGUGUGCGAUGAAGGCCUUCGGGUUGUAAAGCACUGUCGUGGGGGAGAAAGCCCGCAAGGGUUGAUCGACCCCAGGAGGAAGCUCGGGCUAAGUUCGUGCCAGCAGCCGCGGUAAGACGAACCGAGCGAACGUUGUUCGGAAUCACUGGGCUUAAAGGGCGCGUAGGCGGGCGGUCAAGUCCGGGGUGAAAGCCCCCAGCUCAACUGGGGAAGUGCCUCGGAUACUGGCCAUCUCGAGGGGGAUAGGGGCGUGCGGAACUUCCGGUGGAGCGGUGAAAUGCGUAGAUAUCGGAAGGAACACCGAUGGCGAAAGCAGCGCGCUGGAUCCCUUCUGACGCUGAGGCGCGAAAGCCAGGGGAGCGAACG